AAUGAACGCUGGCGGCAGGCCUAACACAUGCAAGUCGAACGGACGCACAGUAAGCGUUUGCGCUUACGGGUGGCGGGUGGCGGACGAGUGACGCAUACAUCGGAAUCUACUUUUACGUGGGUGAUAACGUAGGGGAAGAUACGCUAACACCGCAUACGACCAACGGGUGAAAGCAGGCGAUCUUCGCACCUUGCCCGAUUGUAUGAGCCGAUGUCGGAUUAGCUAGGUGGCGGGGUAACGGCCCACCAAGGCGACGAUCCGUAGCCGGCCUGAGAGGAUGAUCAGCCACACUGGAACUGAGACACGGUCCAGACUCCUACGGGAGGCAGCAGUGGGGAAUCUUGGACAAUGGGCGCAAGCCUGACCCAGCCAUACCGCGUGAGUGAUGAAGGCCUUCGGUUUGUAAAGCCCUUUUGUUCGGAAAGAAAAGCAGCAGCAUAAUACCCGGCCGUUCUGACGGUACCCAAAGAAUAAGCACCGGCUAACUUCGUG
rnacentral:rRNA from 1 species